GACGAACGCUGGCGGCGUGCUUAACACAUGCAAGUCGAACGGAAAGGCCCCCAUCUUGGUGGGGGUGCUCGAGUGGCGAACGGGUGAGUAACACGUGGGUGAUCUGCCCUGUACUUCGGGAUAAGCUUGGGAAACUGGGUCUAAUACCGGAUAGGACCAUGGUUUAGUGUCUCAUGGUGGAAAGAUUAUUGUUUUGGUGCAGGAUGAGCUCGCGGCCUAUCAGCUUGUUGGUGGGGUAAUGGCCUACCAAGGCGUCGACGGGUAGCCGGCCUGAGAGGGUGGACGGCCACAUUGGGACUGAGAUACGGCCCAGACUCCUACGGGAGGCAGCAGUGGGGAAUAUUGCGCAAUGGGCGCAAGCCUGAUGCAGCGACGCCGCGUGGGGGAUGACGGCCUUCGGGUUGUAAACUCCUUUCGUUAGGGACGAAGCCGCACUUUUUUUGGGUGUGGUGACGGUACCUUUGUUAAGAAGCACCGGCUAACUACGUG
rnacentral:rRNA from 1 species